rnacentral:lncRNA from 13 species
GGGCUCCAUUCACAUUGAGAAGCCACAGACAUCUGUGUAGCAUUACUCAGUGGAUGUUACCAGCUACUAAAUAAGUUAUUCAAAUGAUAAGAGAGCGAGCGAGAGAGAGAGACACAGAGAGAGAGACACAGAGAGAGAGACACAGAGAGAGAGACACAGAGAGAGAGACACAGAGAGGGAACGAGAGAAAGAGACGUGGGGCUGAGGGACAAAAAGACUGACCGAUCGGCAGAUACCACAGUAGGUUUCACCUCAUGACCAGAGCUAUAGUACAGUGCUUCUCAUUCUAUUCCAUUAUCAUAGCUUCCUCUAUGCUUGUCAAGUACAUGGUUAUGGGUCAUUACCCUCCCAUAAAGCACCAUUCAAUUUCAUUACAAUGACUUCUGCCUUCUACUGGAUUUGAUUACAUUUCAUCCCUCAUUUUACAUCACUGAUAUUGUGUUCAUUUCAUUCUCCUCAUCUCCCAUCAGCCAACAAGCACUACUGAUGAAGCGUUUUAGUACUGAUGGAGAGUUCUACUGCCUUUGUGGUGGAAAAUUGAAACAAUAUCAAAGCAAGUGGCCAAAGGAGGUAAAAUACCACAGUAUGAACAGAUCAGAACAGCCAGCUGAGCUCAUACUACUGGAAUAGGAAUAACACCUGAAAACACUCUCCUUCAAUCCAAAGUGUAUCAGUUCCCAGGAUCUAACAUGGAGCACAAAACGCGACUCCUGUCUGGAACUCAUGUGACCCUGCCGACAGUUUCUACUGGGACAGAAAACAAGUGAACACACAGGACGUAGUUUGACCUUCCUUUAGACAGGCGGACUUAUUAACUAUUCCUACUCAGAGAGGUUACAGAUGGAUACUAGUUUAAAAACACAUAACCGAAGCCUCAGAAAGAAAGCAGCAGUAUUCGUGCCGACCCGCCCGCACGCUAUGGGCCCUCUUCCUCAUUACAGCCCCAGAGAGGACCAAGGUUCAUCUGCCAUGUGUCCGGCGCUGCGCCAGAGGUCACUUCUUCCAUUGAUGCAUCCGCAAAUGUAUGAGAGGUUCCCUGCAUGGCAUGUGUUGAGUCAUGGACACUAGAACCUGUUAUUAGUGUUUUAAAGAGUUAGGGUUUAGUAAGAAGUAACAGUGAGUUUUGAUUCUCUGUAUUUCUAGAUGAAUGGCUCCAUGUCAGGCAGUACCGACUGCAUUAAUGCACUCAUGGACUCCAUGCUUCAAGCCAUAUACUGGACCAGAUUAAUGAACACAUUUACUGUUCUGCAUAAUCAGCAUAUAUGUCCUUGAGAGUCACCGCAAAGCUGUAAAGCAAUGACUUGAAUGUGAUAAAGAGAAAGCUUCUUAUCUAAUCAUGAUGUGUUUAGGAUUCCAUGCUGAUUCCAUGUCUGGACUAUGAGACUGAACACGCUGCAGGAGAAUCAAAGCCAACGCUCAGGACAAAGAGCAGAUGUUCGCUAGAUAACCUCUCUCUGGGCAAUCUUGGCACCCUAACCAGACAAGGAUUUCCUGGGUAAACUUCAAGUCGGCUGUGUUGGGAGGGAUUCACAAAGGCCGGGCUGAAGUUGAGCUUUGUGCAGAUGGACAUACGCUAUGUCUCCCACAUAUAUAUCAGUGGGAUCAGGAACAGUAAAAGCUCAUUCCUAGAGCUAUGUGCGUACCUUAGUUGACUGCACAUCAAUCAUAGGCCUAUUUAACAGAUAGGAGCAAACAUGAUCAUAACUGUGAAGUCUGUCAGUGAUGCCAAGAUAUACAGUGUCUUCGGAAAGUAUUCAGACCCCUUAACUUUUUGUUAAGUUACAGCCUUAUUCUAAAAUGGAUUCAAUUGUGUUUUUUCUCAUCAAUCUACACACAAUACAAAUGACAAAUCUAAAAUCAAAAAUUUUGUGAAGUUACAAUAAAUAAUCAUUUAAAAAAAUCACAUUAACAUAAGUGUUCAGACCCUUUACUCAGUACUUUGUUGAAGCACCUAUGGCAGUGACUAC